UUUAGAAAAUCUUUCUAACGGAGAUCUCCUUAGUCUAUUGUCAGAAGAUCAAUCACAUGAUCUUUUUAAUGCUUUUGUUUUAGCUUUUAACAAGUUGAAGGCUGAAGUAGCUCUGAGUGCUUACAUUUCUGAAAGAGAUAAAAAACGUUUCUGUAGCUCACCAGAAGCAUAUUGUAGGACUAGUAAGACUGGU